GACGAACGCUGGCGGCGUGCUUAACACAUGCAAGUCGAACGGAAAGGCCCUGCUUUUGUGGGGUGCUCGAGUGGCGAACGGGUGAGUAACACGUGAGUAACCUGCCCUUGACUUUGGGAUAACUUCAGGAAACUGGGGCUAAUACCGGAUAGGAGCUCCUGCUGCACGGUGGGGGUUGGAAAGUUUCGGCGGUUGGGGAUGGACUCGCGGCUUAUCAGCUUGUUGGGGGGGUAGUGGCUUACCAAGGCUUUGACGGGUAGCCGGCCUGAGAGGGUGACCGGCCACAUUGCGACUGAGAUACGGCCCAGUCUCCUACGGGAGGCAGCAGUGGGGAAUAUUGCACAAUGGGCGGAAGCCUGAUGCAGCAACGCCGCGUGCGGGAUGACGGCCUUCGGGUUGUAAACCGCUUUCGCCUGUGACGAAGCGUGAGUGACGGUAAUGGGUAAAGAAGCACCGGCUAACUACGUG
rnacentral:rRNA from 1 species